AACGUAGGAGGCGAGCGUUAUCCGGAUUUACUGGGCGUAAAGCGCGUGCAGGCGGCUCGGAAAGUUGGCUGUGAAAGCUCCCGGCUCAACUGGGAGAGGUCGGUCAAGACUUUCGGGCUUGAGGAUGGUAGAGGGAGGCGGAAUUCCGGGUGUAGUGGUGAAAUGCGUAGAUAUCCGGAGGAACACCAGUGGCGAAAGCGGCCUCCUGGACCAUUUCUGACGCUCAGACGCGAAAGCUAGGGUAGCAAAC
rnacentral:rRNA from 1 species